rnacentral:rRNA from 1 species
CAGGACGAACGCUGGCGGCGUGCCUAAUACAUGCAAGUCGAACGGUCUUUCUAUGGAAGCUUGCUCCACUGAGAAGAUAGUGGCGAACGGGUGAGUAACACGUGGGUAACCUGCCCAUAAGAGGGGGGAUAACAUCCGGAAACGGGUGCUAAUACCGCAUAGUUUUCUUGAUCGCAUGAUCGGGAAAGGAAAGACGGCCUUUGUGCUGUCGCUUAUGGAUGGACCCGCGGCGUAUUAGUUAGUUGGUGAGGUAACGGCUCACCAAGACGAUGAUACGUAGCCGACCUGAGAGGGUGAUCGGCCACAUUGGGACUGAGACACGGCCCAAACUCCUACGGGAGGCAGCAGUAGGGAAUCUUCCGCAAUGGACGAAAGUCUGACGGAGCAACGCCGCGUGAGUGAAAGAAGGUUUUCGGAUCGUAAAACUCUGUUGUCAGAGAAGAACAAGUUGGAGAGUAACUGCUCCAGCCUUGACGGUAUCUGACCAGAAAGCCACGGCUAACUACGUGCCAGCCGCGGC